rnacentral:tRNA from 1 species
CGCGGGGCGGACGGCUUGCGGUCGGCGGCCUUCUCGGGGGCGGGCUCGGGCGUGGUCGCGGGGCUCGGUGCCUGCUCCGGGGCCCGCGC